rnacentral:rRNA from 1 species
AUACGUAGGUGGCAAGCGUUAUCCGGAUUUACUGGGUGUAAAGGGCGCGUAGGCGGGGGUGCAAGUCAGAUGUGAAAUCUAUGGGCUUAACUCUUAAACUGCAUUUGAAACUGUAUCUCUUGAGUGCUGGAGAGGUAGACGGAAUUCCUUGUGUAGCGGUCAAAGGCGUAGAUAUAAGGAAGAACACCAGUGGCGAAGGCGGUCUACUAGACAGUAACUGGCGCUGAGGCGCGAAAGCGUGGGGAGCAAACAGGAUUAGAUACCCUGGUAGUCCACGCUGUAAACGAUGAAUACUAGGUGUGGGGGGACUGACCCCCUCCGUGCCGCAGUUAACACAAUAAGUAUUCCACCUGGGGAGUACGGCCGCAAGGUUGAAACUCAAAUGAAUUGGCGGGG